UACGUAGGUGGCAAGCGUUGUCCGGAAUUAUUGGGCGUAAAGAGCUCGUAGGUGGCUUGUCGCGUCUGCCGUGAAAGCCCAUGGCUUAACUGUGGGUCUGCGGUGGAUACGGGCAGGCUGGAGGCUGGUAGGGGCAAGCGGAAUUCCUGGUGUAGCGGUGAAAUGCGCAGAUAUCAGGAGGAACACCGGUGGCGAAGGCGGCUUGCUGGGCCAGUUCUGACGCUGAGGAGCGAAAGCGUGGGGAGCGAACAGG
rnacentral:rRNA from 1 species